rnacentral:sRNA from 22 species
CAACCUGGAUUGGAAAUCAGUUUUGUUUCUUUGUUAUCAAAUGAUUGCCAUUCUGAAAUGCUAUAGAUAGCAUGAUUUAAGUCGUCUUGAGAUGCAGCUGAUUCUUUGUAAUAUGACUCAUAUACUUCACGAUUUUUAAUUCUAAACGCACCGGAUAAAUCGAUAACAUGAAUACCUUUUUCAACUAAAGGG